UUGGUAUUAAUUUGUUAAGUUGUCGAUUUUAUAGAGAUUAGUAGAUUGUUUGUUAAGAUAUUUAUAUUUUGGAAUAUUUAUGAAAUAUAUAUAAGGUUAUUGUUUUCCUAUUGAUGUUUUUUGUUUUCAAAACUUUUAAACAAUACCUAUCAACUUUUAUAUAUAUAUUUUUUAAAAAUAUAUAUACUGUAAUUUAGAAUCAGCAUAUUCUCGUAUUUAAAAUAUUAAAUGAAAGCUUUGAAUGACAAAAAUUAACUAUUAUAUAAUCUAUCAAAAGAAUCCAUGCAUAUAUUUUCAUAUGGUGAGCGAUUUUCAAAAAAUAUAAAGAAAUUAUUGUUUAUAUAGGUUAAAAAUAUAGUGUAAGAUUGACUUUUAAAAUUCACUAAUAUAUACAUAUAACUUCUUGAAGGGCCAAUGUUUUACGACAUGUAAACUCAACAAAGCAACAACGUAUUUAACAUUAAUAAUGAUUGUGUAUUUACCAACGUAAUAAGUCUACUACAUAUAAACGGAUAUGGAGAUGAUAAACGUGUGUGGGUUGAUCCCGCAUUUGAGGUUUAAAUGAUAUAAUUGUGGAAAAAAUAAAUAAGGUAAAUAUUAUAUAAGAAAUUUAAAUUUCUAAUGAAUAGGUCCAACAACCUUGCAUAAGUAGAUUUUUUAGGACUCUUUCCCUUUUAAUAGUAUUGAUAUUUAGAAAAUGAAUCACGAGAUACAAUUAUAUUUAGUUAAUUAAAAAGAUACAUUGUAAAUCUUGACUCAAUUACUCAGAUAUAUAUAGUAUAUCUGUUUUGAAUUCACUAUCAUAAUUAUUAUAUUUUGUUUAUUUUUCUUACUUUAGUGAUGCAUUAUUCUUAUUCAACCUCUACCAUAAAUACAAGUAACAAAUUCUUUGAAAAUUUUGACUAAACUUUUAUGAGUUUAUUUAAAUUUUUAUCAAACAUUAUAUAACUACUAAUUAAUGACUUUUUGCAGUUAAACUAUUUUUUUUUGGGAAUUGUUUGAGAAUAUUUAUAAAGUUGACAAGCUAUCCCAACUAACCUCAAACAACUCAAAACUCCACAAAAUUCUUAAACAAUUGAAAUCAGCACAAUAGUAACACAACUAGUCUCUCUAUCUUUGACACAUCAGCUUUUAAUUAAUUUCAUUGUGGAACUGCCAUAUCAAUUAAUUGUACACGUCAGUUCUCAAGUUUCUCUCACAACUUCAUUUCUUUGAUACAAACCUUUUCGGAUCUCUUAUAUUUAUUUCAUUAUAUUCAAGAAUCGCUGCGUCUUCACCCAUCUAUAUACAUCGUUAAAUUGAUGAAAUCAAACAAUAUGAAAACAGUUCCUCUCUAUAAAUUGAACUGUUGUUGCUUAUGGUUUGGAUAUAGUGCAAAGUCGUCAAACACUGGAGAGAGAGCGGUUCGCAUGAGGAAGGUUGCGCUGGUCAGGAUGAGGAUCUAACCAAUGAGAGGUUCAUGUGGUGAUCCCGUUUAGAUCUAAGGCAUGCAUGAGAGAUUAAGCGGUGGUUCCGGCGAGAACGUAGCGAGUGAUCAUAUUGGGAAUUUGGUAAGUGACCUAAGAGAAAAUCAACCAAAGUGGUGGUCCGACAAGAGAAACGAAACCUUGACCGAUAUAAGCGGUGGUUAUUUGAGAUAUAUGCAAGUCUCGGCGUUUGAUGGCGGUGAGGAUUGGUCCAAUUACAGCCGUGAGAUCUUGACGACGAGGUGAAGAUUUGGUGAACCCGGCGGCUGACAUAGAUGGCGUCUCUUUGUCACUAUUAUGUUUCAACGUCGUUGGUUUGUAUCCUUUUAUUUUGUCCAGUUUCGGUUCUGUAAUCCGGUUCUCAAAUCUAAUACUAUAAAGUAAAACUUUACUCUUUUCUUUUUAGAGAGACACAUCAUCAAAUAGGUCUCUGAGAAUGUGACACCUGUCCUCCUUAGCCAAACCUCUGCGGCGAUUUGUCCGUGUAAUCGGCUGAGUACACGCACAUCGGUGACAGAGCGCGGUGAUAUGUCUCUGAUCGGAAGCAAAACACGGCAAGACGAGUUCAUGUCGAAUUGACCCCGGAACUAUAUUAAAUCGGUGUGUUUUUACGAUUAUAUAUAAAAUCGUUUUUUUUCUUAAACCAUGAAAAACGAAAGCUGAAACCGAUAUUUAUUCAAAUCCAAUCUAUUUAUGAUACAUCUUUGAUUUUGUUGAUUAAAGAUCAAAAAACUCAAACAAAAAGAUGAAAAAAACUGAGUGGCUGCGUUAUAGGGUUACAUGAAGGUAUAUGAAAAAGAUGAAUUUGCAAAGACCGUAUUAUCUUUCACUUUAAUGAAAAAAAGAAUGACUUUAAAAACCAUUUGAACUCAUGACCCUUUGAUCUCCCAGAAACCAAGCAGUGCCACUGAACCAACACGAUAACUUUGGACUAGUUGAACGAUAUACAUAAUAUAAUAGUUUAUGGUAUAAAAUCAAGGUAGACGUCUGUAACAUAAACAUGUAUUAUCUUGUAUUAUAAGUACAAAUAGAGUAUUAUAUGUAUAAAUAAAGUAUUAUACAUAUAAAAUACAGAAAAAAAUUUCUCGUAUACUUUCUGAUUUAUUUCCGCUUUUCUAAUAAAUCGCUAGGCCCAAAUGCGCCGCACGCGUAGCGCCUAGCGAGUUUCCGAACAAGGAGCCAAACUAACCGUUUCAAUUAAUAAUUUAGUGGGCCUUAUUCUAUGAUUUAGUCCAAAACAAUGAGUUUAGCCGCAAGAGGAUUAGGGUUUCGCGUUCUUAGCAAAGAGUUUCUUCUCUGAUUCAUCGAUAGAGUUUCGAUGUUGUCAAUCCACAUUUUGAUAUUGUUAUGUAUUCUCUUUGUGUAAACGAAACGUCUCCCCUAAAUAAUUCAUCCUCUUUACUUCAUCACCCCGUAAAGAAGUUGAUAGCACAAUCUGUUAUUUAAUGAUAGCAAAGAAGUUGUAGGUUCAGCUGUAGGUUCAUCUCUAUCGUUUCUGUUUUCCAUUAACAUAUCCUUCUCUGAUUCAGAGUGGGCAUGGGACACCCAUGACAGGUGAGAUUAUAAGUUCUUUUGGUCGGAUCAGCUGCAAUCGUAAUCUCUCUCUUUUGAUCUUUUGUUGGUUGUGGUUAGUCUAAUGAUGUUUCAGGGUUGCUACACGAGAUGCUUGGAUCUACCAAAACAAAGAGAUUCAAAAGCUUGGAAGGUGCUUUCACAAUAUCUACGGACAGAGGAAAAUUUUGCUUUCUCAAACGAAAGCACUUGCAAACCAAUAAUGGUUUGAAGCAACUUAUUAUAAAUACUGACAUCUGAUGCAUUCUCUUCUGUUGUUUAGUACAGACUAUUACAUCAGAUGAUAAGAGUAAAAACAGCUCAUGUGAGAACUGAUACAGAGAGAAAUGUCUCACUAAUGCAUCUAUGGAGGCUCUCCUUCUCCACAUCUUAACCUUGGCGACUGGACAUAACUAAUGAUAUAUUUUCAAGAUUACUAUGGUUGGAGUCUUGGAGUAUUGAACAUGUUAUUCCAAGGAGGAAUAUACAGAGUGUUACAUGCGAGAAUAGGCAUCACUCCUACAUUGCUAUGGCUGGUCCAGCCUGGUUGCAGUCGGUGCUUGCUCAAGAAAGCGGAAAUGCUUGAUACAAGAGCACAGUAGUUUUAAUCAGUGUCUUUUUAUACUGACGGGUCCAUCCCGUUAGUUCUCAUGUUUUGUCUUUUUGGCUGAUUCAGUUACUCUAUAGCAAACUCUGUUUUGGUCUUUGGAAUUAUUGAAAGUGUUAAAAAGCAAAUGUUACUUGAAAACACAGGUGGUGACUACUUUAGAAUUUUU